AGCAGCCGCGGUAAUUCCAGCUCCAAUAGCGUAUAUUAAAGUUGUUGCAGUUAAAAGCUCGUAGUUGAAUUUCGGGGUUAGUAGGCUGGUCGUGCCACAGGUAUGUACUGGUUUCACUGAUUCCUCCUUCCUGAUGAUCCGUAAUGCCAUUAAUUUAGUGUUGCGGGGAAUUUGGACUGUUACUUUGAAAAAUUGAGUGUUUAAAGCAAGCUAACGCUUGAAUACAUUAGCAUGGAAUAAUGAAAUAGGACGUUCGAUCCUAUUUUGUGGUUUCUAGGAUUGACGUAAUGAUUAAUAGGGAUAGUUGGGGGCAUUAGUAUUCAAUUGUCAGAGGUGAAAUUCUUGGAUUUAUUGAAGACUAACUACUGCGAAAGCAUUUGCCAAGGAUGUUUUCAUUAAUCAAGAACGAAGUUAGGGAUCGAAGACGAUCAGAUACCGUCGUAGUCUUAG
rnacentral:rRNA from 1 species